CUUAUGACGGGCAAUUAUUAAGAAGUGUAGAGUUUAACGUCAGAUGCUUUUUACUUGGCGGUCUUUCGACGCUACCUAUUAGACCAUUCCGUUUGUCAUACUAGAUAGGAUAUUCUAGUAUGCCAGGGAUAGUCAGUCCUAAGUUUUCUGUAACAUUAUUUAGAUCUAUUCAUUAUGCUAAGAGAUAGAUAGCAUCCAGCAAUUUGAACUUUACAGAUACCUGACGAGCUCUGACUAACUUAUAUAAGAAGACCGAUUUCUGUUUAUUCAGGUCUGGCUACACUCUGCUAUUGCCCGUCUCAUUAUAUUAAGACUACUUUUUAUCUAACUAUAGUGUGGGGGAUUUACUGAGUGUUAUAAUUGGGGCUUUAUGACAACUGUUACGGCUAGUAUUUCGACCAUAUUAUUGGUUUGAGCAACGCUGCCGCUUAUUAUUUGUUCCCAAAUACUCUGAUAUAAUCUCCAUACUACCCUGAUGAUCUCUAGUUCCCCUAACCUAGUGAUACCAUAUUAGGACUCCGUAUUUACCCGCUCUUAUUUGCACAUACUUGGGCAAUAUUGCUAUAUUAUUGAGCGUGGGGUACAGUUUUUUGGAGCCAUCUAUCACAGUGGUUACUUUUUCUCCCCUAGAUUCACACCUAAACAAUAUCAGCUAUUGAUACACUGUUGCAAAAGAGUUACCAGCAGCAGUUUAUAAAAUACUGUAACUAUUCAUGAAGUAUCUAGUCGAUAUGGUGUGAUGCUUGCAUAGCUAGCAGAAUUAUCAGUAGGUUUUUAUUUCCUUUAACGUAUUUUUAAUUUGCACCUUACUGUACAUACACCUUUUUUUCACUAUGAGUUGUCUAACCCUUAAGAGGGAACAAUAAAGAUUUAUUAUUUUGUAUAGGUUCGUUUUUAUGCUCUAGGACUGGCAAUUUGUCACCACAUACUAGUAGAGCAGUUUUUCAAUAGGGUAUAGGGACUGAGAUUUGGGAACACUCUUCGAGUUACCACAUUUCAGUCUCUUCUUGUAUUUUUACUUUUGGGUUAUGCCCUAAUACCCCUCAACUUACUCAACUCUAGUGCAGGGUUCUUUCUCCCUUCACUAUUGGUUGUGCUUUCUCUUAGAGAGUUAACUUGGUUAAUACCCAAACUGCCGUACCUGUUCAAAUCUCAUUUUUUUUUUUUUGAGUACAAGUCUCAGGGUUUCAGAUGUGUUUCUCAGUAGGAUCAACUCAAUGACCUUUCAUCAUUCUAAGUAUGAUAAAACUGUUUUUUCUUUAUUAUUGCACCUUAUUUUUCAGCAGAUGAUUCUCGAAAGAGCUUUGACUACCCUUUGGGGGAAAAAGUGCUAUAUAUACAUAUAAAAUAAUUACAUGCUGUUCUAUCUCUCUGCUACACUUAAAUGAUACUGUAACUGGUAACAGAAAGCAAUGAUAUUUGUAAUCAUGGAGCAGAGGCACACUUACUUCAAAGAAUUUGUAGAACCCUUUGGCAACUCAGCAGGGGACGUGUUCCAAAUUAUGUGUAAGUUUGCUUUGGUAACGCAGUGUCUCUUGGCCAUUCAACGUGUUCAUACACUGCAGAAUGUCACUGAUUAACUAUUCCAUCUGUCUGCUCUUGUCAUAUGCCGUACUGACGUGGACAUUUAAGUUAUUUAAUGUACAAAUUAAUGGAAAGCAACAAAAAGACAGUUUAAUAUGCAUACAGUUUAAAAAAAAAAAAAAGCAUAACCUUUUAGUUUAAACUCUACAGUGCUCUUGUGCUGUAAUAAGACAGUUCUGUUUACUGCAACCUUUGAUCUUUUCUGUCUCUUCCUUUAAUUCUUCCCAUUCUUCCAGUUCUCAUAAUAACUAGUCUUAGUUUUCAUAUUCAGCUUAUAUUGCCCCAUAAACCUAUUUCCUAUUACUUCUACUAUAAAUCCAGGUACUCAGAACUCUGAAUUGUUGGUAAUGGAACUAGCAGAGAUUUUGCAAUAUUACGUAAUGCACGCUCUCACUAAUAUAUAUCAGUCUAUUAAACUGACAGUGCAACUCUUCUUUUUGUAGAUAAAUCAAGAAGGGGAUCUGCGUUCAAUAUAUCACUAUUCUUUAUUCCCCCAGAGCAAUUAUUUUUUUGUGACUUCUCUAAAUGAAAUGCGUCUGAAUAGUUUUCAAGACUCCUGUGGAAUAACUAAGCGUUUCUCAACGGUUUGACAUGGGGCUUAAUAACUCAUAGAGGUUAAAGAAAGUCCAAAGUGCCAUUAACUAGCAAUAGCCUAACUUUUCAGUGAUUUUCUCGCCCUGUUACUUGCAAGCUGUCCUUAAAGGAACACAAACAUGUAUUCCUGACCAGGGCCGGACUGGGGAAAAAAAUUUGGCCUGGGCAUUUUUUAUUCACAGCGGCCCACUGAAAAGAGGGCGGGGCCAGAUAGGGUGUGUUUUGUCAUCCACAAUGACAAGCACGCCCCAUCUCAAAGUAAGCAUGUUGGUUCAAUGCUCUUCCAGGGCAUGAGAAAAGGCCCCUGUAUUUGUUCUGCACAGUGCAAGCAAAUUUAAUAACAUGCUUGCGUUGUGUUUGCUUGAAACUUGACUCACUGUAUCCCAUUUAUGGAGACACUAUGUGUUUGCUUACAUGGAAUCUAGUGUUUGCAUAGGGGAUCCAGAGUGUGUAUGUCAGAAAUGUAGUGGGUGUGUAGGUGGUGCAGCGUCUGUGUGUAGGGGAUCUAGUGUGUGUUUGAAGGACUCAGGAGUGUGUAUAGGAGAUCUAGUGAGUGAGUGAGUGUGUGUAUAGAGGAUUCAGAGUGUAUUUGGCGAUCUAGUGUGUGUAUAUCUGUAGAUGAUCCAGAGUUGGGUAAGGAAUCUAUUGUUUGUCUGGAAUUUAAUGUGUUUAGGGGUGUAGUAUGUGUGUGAGGGGUUCUGUAGUAUAUAUGUAGUGUGUGUGUGGAUGCUGUGUGUGUGUGUGAGGGUGUUGUGUGUGUGGGUGCUGUGUGUGUUAGGAUGCUGUGUGAGGGUGAUGUGUGUGUGUUAGGGUGCUGUGUGUGUUAGGGUGCUAUAUGUGAGGGUGCUGUGCGAGGGUGAUGUGUGUUUGUGUUAUGGUGCUGUGUGAGGGUUCUGUGUGUGUGAGUGAGGGUGCUGUGUGUGUUAGGGUGCUGUGUGUGUAAGGGUGCUGUGUGUGUGGGGGUUCUUUGUGUGUGUGUGUGGAUGCUGUGUAAGGAUGAUGUGUGUGUGUGUGUGUGUGUUAGGGUGCUGUGUGAGGGUGAUGUUUGUGUGUGUGUUAGGGUGCUGUGUUAGGGUGCUGUGUGUUAGGGUGAUGUAUGUUAGGGUGCUGUGUGUGUAAGGGUGAUGUGUGUGUAAGGGUGCGCUGUGUGUGUGUUAGGGUGCUGUGUGUGUGUUAGGGUGCUGUGUGUGUUAGGGUGCUGUGUGUGUGUGUGUGGAUGCUGUGUAAGGAUGAUGUGUGUGUGUGUGUGU